GUUAACUAUGUACUACAGUAGUUUAGUAAAUUUUCCACAGUUCUGACAUUUCAUCAAUUCAACUGGUUAUUGCCAAAAAGCCUUGUUCAUUACCUGACUGCAGCAAGCACUCCUUUACUGGGUGUAACCAUAGGAAACAGUCUCUUUUGAGCCUCUCUUUGUAAGUCCAGGAUGACCACCGUCAUUGAUUAAAGUUCACAUGUUAGCACACAUGCUCCUCCCCUUUUGUACUUUGUUUCAUCAGCAGCAGGGCAAAUAAGUUUCUGCCUCUUUGUCCAUCUUGUAGUGCUCCCCGUCUUGAUGUUAUAAGUCACAGCUUUUGGUGAGGGCUUCCAGGUUCUCUUUGUAUAGAAGUCAGACCCAAACAUUCUUUGCAGCUGGUUGUGACAGGCCCACCCAGUAAAGUUCAUGCCCGCCACAAUGCACAGCAAACGUUUUCCUUAAAUAUGUUGAUUGGGUUGAAAUGACAGAACUUUCUCUUUUACAAAUCAAAAUCAACGAUGGUUUCUAAUAAUUAGUCGACUUUAUUGACUCAAAGGUAAAUCUAGACUACUUCCUAUGCACAAUUUGUUCUGAAUCAUCAAAUCAGUUCUACACAGGUUUUAAACAUUAGGCACAAUCUAUCCCAAAUGCAAGAUCCCUCCUUUCAUUUUUUAUUUAUCUAUUUUAUUUUGGGAAAAUAACUACCAGUUUUAACUCAAAACAGCCUGGUACAGUUUCUAGCCGGGUUACAGGAAAUAAUACUUAGUUUAUCUGUUUUUUCAUUAUUCAGCGUCUCAAAAUCCAGCCAUUAACGUUAAUGGUUCUUAAAGUUGAGGCAAGACAAUUAUUGGAUUUUGUUUUAUAGCAAGAUUUAACAAAUAUUUUAUUUCCUGACUGAUUAUUUGUUAAUUUUAUGGUUUUCAUAAAGAUGAUCCUGAGAAGUUCAGAGCUGCUUUUCGCAGCACCCUGUGCUAUUUUAGACUAUGGGAUUCUUGUGUGUAAAAGUGGGUGGAGUCAGGUCCCCAGGCUGAAACUCCAGUCAUUCUCACUAGAUCUGUCCGAGAGGAAGGAUCUCCUGAAUACCCUAACCAGAAGCCUUAAGUCUCUUGAACUAAAUAACUGUCUAGCAAAAACAUGGACCGCACCCUGUUUCUCAAGCAGCUGCUCCCUCUAUUAAAAACUGCGUCAUUCAGGAGAAGAUCCAGCGAAAGCAGCAUUUACUUCUCAUGCAAGAAGACACACAUCCACUCAUUCACAAGGCACAGACGACAUUCUUUGUUUGUCACAGUCUUUUUUUAUUUUUUAUUUUUU